UCUAAAAGUGACAUGUUGUUCAAAGUGCAGAGUGCACACACACCUUCAACCAACGCCAGGCAGAAAACAGAACAUUUGCAAUAUUUCUUUCUGAGUAAUACUUUAAUUAGAAUCAUAAUUGCUUCUUUUUGUGAAUAGUUUUAUGAUGUAUGUAUUUGGUGUACAUUUUCUGGCACAAUUCAAAAAAAGUAAAAAGAAAAGUAAAUUCAGUAUAUUUUUCAUUCUAUUUUUUUACAAUUUCUUUUGAGAGGCCUCCUCUAUCAUUUUAGUAUGGGAGUAGAUGGACUUUUAAUAUUUACUAUCACUUUCUCUGUCAUGUUCAUUUGACCAAGCCUGAUAAAAACCUCUGAAGCAAUUAUUAGUUGAUCAUUUUAAAGGAAAAGGAUAACUUCUAAGAGCCAGGAAGAAAUAAAUACAAGCAUAUGCAACCUAGUGUGAAAGAUGUUGUCACCACUACAGCCACUAGAGGGCACUGUACUUUAGAGAAAGCCAGCAAGACGCGAAGAGCAAAGCAGGAAGUAAACUCCGCCGUGUCAAGUGACAACUGGUGACGUGUGGUAAAUAUUUUUCGUGGAGUUCCUAAACACUACAAGCUUGGGAUGCAUAUAUUUGGGCUCCUCGCAAUGCUGCUCAACGCUGAAAGCGAUGGAUGAGGUGGUGGUUAGUGCAACAGUCCUGUUUUGUAAUCCUUGCACUGGAGCCAACGUCCAAAAGCACUUCAACAACCUCCAACUCUUUAUGCAACAGAGGGGCACAGUCGAUGUGGACGAAACCAUGAUUGCUGAAGACUACAAGGUAGUUUAAAAAAUGCGAAAUUACAUAAUUUAUAGCAAUAACAAUAACUUACACAAAUAACUACACCUGUUUUUUUUGGGGUAAGUACAGAUAUUUGCAAAAUAAUAUAUAUGCAAAAUAAACAAACUAUGUGUUACAAACUGAUAAACUAUAAGCCAGAAUAUUUUAAGCGUUACAUUUAAUUGAAGAAUGUUUUGUACAAUAAUAACACUGAACUGAUCCUAUAGUUAUUAUUGUUUCAACCAUACACCUUUAAUCUCAUGAUGGUAUAAAAUAUUGCAUACAAUUCAACAACAUAAUAUUCUUAUCAGCAUGAUCUCGGGACCACAACUCUCGACAAACACUUCCAGCAAGUUGUUGACGUGUCAGGAUCUGUAGUAUGUUUUGUGUUUCCUGUUUUAUUUUGAAGUCCCCGUCUCUUGUGUCCUCUUUUUCCCUGCACUUCCUGUCCCUGUGAUUGUCUGCCAUGUCUAAUCGCCUGCACCAGCCCUGUGUAUUGAAACCCUGUUCGUGUCAUUCCCCUUUGUCAGUUCGUCCUGUUAUGAUCACCAUAGAUCACGGGGGUGAGUCAGUCUCUUGGAUAUUUCCUGCGAGCAAUAAAGUUGCCUUUUUUUCCUACUUGUCGGCGUUUGGGUCCUGUUCUUGCCGCUACUCCCGUGACAUGACGGUGCACAUCUUGACACUCAAGAUGAAGCCAAUGUUCACCAUGCACCACAAUUUGUCAUACAUUUGGCAACGUACUUCCUCCUGUGAUGCUAGGGGACCUAGGACGUCAUGGGUCUGGCCCAGCAUACAGGAAUUUCAGUAAACUCUACAAUGAAGUCCGUCAAUUCAAAAAACAGAACUUCACACUUGACAACCGGACGCAAGGUAUCAUGGAGAAAAGUCAUUGGGACCUGAAAAUAAUUUGGUUCCAGAGAAAGAGUCUGACCAGGCUGGACGACUUGUCCAGAUUUAUCAAAAAAUGCAUGAUGCACUUCUACUUGAAUAUGGAGACGUAGAAAGAACAAGAACAAAAUCUCAUCUUUUCAAGUCCUUUAGAGUGGAAACGGAGAAAUGGAAAAAGGAAUUCAGAAGUGCAAGGGAGUCUGUCUCACCACUGGUGACAGGGCUCCCUUUUAAACAACUAAAAAGCAAGAAAAUACAUGAACAUUCCCGGACAUGUGACAGAGGAAGACCCUGAAAACGUCACACCAACCCAGGUUUUUUCAAUAAAAGUAUCCCAUCAAAUUCAGAUUCUUCAUAUAUCUCUUUUGAAGUUACUAUAGUUAAUUUGGCUCAUGCAUUUAAGAGCUUUUUGAAAAUAAAUCACUCUGAUAACUAACUGUUUUAAAUCAAGACCAACACACCACUUAUUACACUAGGAUGAUGAUGAACAAGAAAUCACCACCACAAAAAUGUCAAAACAGUUGACCAAAGAACUGUACAUUUGUUUUGGAAAGGUGAUUUAGUGCCUUCAAGUUGGAAGCUGUGAAUGUUGCAAAUGCAAGUCUUGCACAUAACGGAGGACUUGCAAAAGCAUUAUCACAUGUUGGUUGACCCGAAAUAAAAGACAUUCAAGAAAAUUCAUGUGUGGCAAAGAGCCACACAUGAAUCGCAAACAAUGGGCCAUUGAAAACUGGAGACGGUGUUGUCCCCGUUGCUGUGAGAUUACCAUGCAAAUUGAUGAUACAUGCAGGGAAUUCAUACUGUGAUGUUUAAGGGUGGGAAACAAGUUUUAAUAGGAAAACUCAUUCCGAGAAACCCUAUUUUAAACGUACUUGAGAAGUAUAAGAUAUAUUAUGUUGCCAUCCCGUCAAUCAGUUUGGGCAUUUACAACUUGCCAAUAUGCAGACAUUGUAGUCACAGCCACUCUCAUCCGAACACUAUGACAUUAUUGCAGAAUGUCUGAAAGUGCUGUCCCCUUUCAAUGACGCCACAGUUGAGCUGUCAGAGGAGAAGAGCGUCUUGGUCAAAAGUCAUUCCUCUUUUAUCUAUGCUACACCACACACUGGAGGAAGAAAUGGGACGUGUCCAAACUCCAGAGAGAAAAACAAUGGCUGAGAGUCUGAGGAGACAGUUAAGGGAGAAGCUGUCCACGCUGCAAUCAAUGAGCGUGAUGUCACUGGCGACACUGCUUGAUCCUAGGUUUAAAAAGAUAGGUUUCUUUAGCCCCAAUAAAGCAGCCGAGAGGAGGCUCACUUCAAAAUGUGCUGUUGUACGAAACAGUGCGUCUUCCUCCUCAUCGUCAACAGAAACGCAUGUAUCAGAAGCUUCUCAGCCUGUGACUCAAGGUAAUGGAUACUGGAUACUUUCGAAUUGUGUUAUUGUAUUUAGUCACUUACAGCUGUCUUAGGUAAAAACUAGCAUCGUUUGGACACCACAGUCCUCAAAACGAGGACCCCAAAUGUCACUGCAGAGGCAACAGUGGAGGUCCAAGCUUACCUGAAUGAACCAAACAUCGGAAGAUUGGAGAACCCCCUUGAGUAUUGGGAAGGGCAGAAAAACGUGUAUCCGAAUUUAUAUACACUCGCUGUUUUUCUCUCUACCCAAGCUUCAUCUGUGCCCUGUGAAAGGGUAUUUUCAAAAGCAGGUGAAAUCGUCUCUGAAAAAAGAAAACGCCUGAAGCCCAGUGCUGUGGAAAUGUUGCUAUCUUUAAAUAAAAAUGAAUGGUUGUAUGUCCCUACAUGUGCCCUCGAUGGACUGGCGGCCUGUCCAGGGUGUCCCCUGCCUUCGCCCUAUGUCAGCUGGAAUAGGCUCCAGCGCCCCCGCGACCCUAAUGAGGAUAAGCGGUAUUGAAAAUGGAUGGAUGGAUGGAUGAAUAAAAUGUAACAAGCAGUUUUCCCAAUUUGUUUCCACCACCUCACCAUUGUAUUAUAAAGACAGACACCAUAUUAAUACGUUCAUAAUUUAUGUAUUGGGAUCACAAACAUCAUUCGUUCAUUUAUUAAAUUCAAAGCUUCACACACG